rnacentral:piRNA from 1 species
UGACAACUGGGUAAAACAAGCAAUUGUGCAA